rnacentral:rRNA from 1 species
CAGAGGGUGCGAGCGUUGUUCGGAAUUACUGGGCGUAAAGCGCGCGCAGGCGGGUCCUGUAAGUCGGAAGUGAAAUUUCGGAGCUCAACUCCGAAGCUGCUUCUGAUACUGCGGAUCUAGGGACUGGUAGAGGCUGGUAGAAUUACAGGUGUAGCGGUGGAAUGCGUAGAUAUCUGUAAGAAUACCCGUGGCGAAGGCGGCCAGCUGGGCCAGGUCCGACGCUAAGGCGCGAAAGCGUGGGGAGCAAACAGGAUUAGAUACCCUGGUAGUCCACGCCGUAAACGAUGGGCACUAGGUGCCGGGGGGAGCGACCCCUUCGGUGCCGCAGCUAACGCGAUAAGUGCCCCGCCUGGGGAGUACGGCCGCAAGGCUG